UGGGGAAUAUUGCACAAUGGGGGAAACCCUGAUGCAGCGACGCCGCGUGAACGAAGAAGGUAUUCGUAUCGUAAAGUUCUGUCCUAUGGGAAGAUAAUGACAGUACCAUAGAAGAAAGCUCCGGCUAAAUACGUGCCAGCAGCCGCGGUAAUACGUAUGGAGCGAGCGUGGACCGGAAUUAUUGGGCGUAAAGGGUACGCAGGCGGUUUAAUAAGUCGAAUGUUAAAGAUCGGGGCUCAACCCCGCAAAGCAUUGGAAACUGAUAAACUUGAGUAGUGGAGAGGAAAGUGGAAUUCCUAGUGUAGUGGUGAAAUACGUAGAUAUUAGGAGGAAUACCAGUAGCGAAGGCGACUUUCUGGACACAAACUGACGCUGAGGUACGAAAGCGUGGGGAGCAAACAGG
rnacentral:rRNA from 1 species